rnacentral:rRNA from 1 species
GGGUGCAAUCAUACCAGCACUAAUGCACCGGAUCCCAACAGAACUCCGAAGUUAAACGUGCUUGGGCGAGAGUAGUACUAAGAUGGGUGACCUCUUGGGAAGUCCUUGUGUUGCACCCCAGG